rnacentral:rRNA from 1 species
AUGGCAGCCUCGGGGCUUUGGAAGGCGCGAAUCCCGCUAAAAAUUAAGGUCUUUCUUUGGCAAUUAUGUCAGGAUCGCCUUCCUACCUCUAUUAAUAUAGCCAAGCGCAAUGGCCCUGCUUCCGGACCGUGCGCUUUGUGUCAUAACGCGGAAGAUGCUGACCACGCGUUUUUUCGCUGCCCUUUGGCGCGGUUUGCUUGGAGUGCGGCCAGGGAGGCCGCUGGGGUGGAUUGGGAUCCACGCUCACGCUCUGAGCUUGUGUCUUACUUAUCUGCGAUCCCGGGCUCUUUGCGCCGGAUAAUGUGGACGUGUGCUUCGGCCUUGCUAUGGGCCUUAUGGCAUAUUCGUAACAAGUUUACUAUUGAGGGAGCGUUUCCCUCUCACCCUGCUGAUGUUAUCUUCAAAUGCAUCUUAUUCUUGCAGCAGUGGGCUACGCUGGGAAGGCAACAGGAUGUUGAUCUCCAUCGACAUGCCAUCGCUCGGCUCCGCACAGUCUACUCGGUGUCCCGGGCCCCGUCGCCUCCUCCGUCUGCUGCCUUAUAG